rnacentral:rRNA from 1 species
CCUACGGGAGGCAGCAGUGGGGAAUAUUGCACAAUGGGGGAAACCCUGAUGCAGCGACGCCGCGUGAGUGAAGAAGUAUUUCGGUAUGUAAAGCUCUAUCAGCAGGGAAGAAGAAAGACGGUACCUGACUACGAAGCCACGGCUAACUACGCGCCAGCAGCCGCGGUAAUACGUAGGGGGCAAGCGUUGUUCGGAUUUACUGGGUGUAAAGGGAGCGUAGGCGGCUGUGCAAGUCUGAAGUGAAAGCCAAGGGCUCAACCCUGGGACUGCUUUGGAAACUGUGGAGCUAGAGUGCUGGAGAGGUAAGUGGAAUUCCUGGUGUAGCGGUGAAAUGCGUAGAUAUUAGGAGGAACACCCGUGGCGAAGGCGGGUUACUGGACAGUAACUGACGUUGAGGCUCGAAGGCGUGGGGAGCAAACAGGAUUAGAUACCCGAGUAGUC